CAAAAACAUAGCCUUUAGCCCAACAAGUAUUAAAGGUCCCGCCUGCCCAGUGACUCUUAAACGGCCGCGGUAUCCUAACCGUGCAAAGGUAGCAUAAUCACUUGUCCCCUAAAUAGGGACUAGAAUGAACGGCUAAAUGAGGACUAAACUGUCUCUUGCAGCUAGCCAAUAAAACUGAUCUUUUAGUCCAAAAGCUAAGAUAAGCCUACAAGACGAGAAGACCCUGUGGAACUUCAAACCAAGCCCAAAAUAUGCCACCUUGGUUUUUAGUUGGGGCGACUUCGGAGUAUAAAAAAACCUCCAACACAGACUUUGUUGCCAAGAUCAACACAUCUAAACAAUAGCACUAAGACCCAGUAAUUUAAUUAAUUAUCUGACCAAUGAACCAAGCUACCCCAGGGAUAACAGCGCCAUCCUCUUUUAGAGUUCAUAUCAACAAGAGGGUUUACGACCUCGAUGUUGGAUCAGGACACCCCAAUGGUGUAACCGCUAUUAACGGUUCGUUUGUUCAACGAUUAAAGUCCUACGUGAUCUGA
rnacentral:rRNA from 1 species